CCAAUAGCGUAUAUUAAAGUUGUUGCAGUUAAAAAGCUCGUAGUUGAACUUCGGGGUUUAUUCAUUGGUCAGGCUUAAUUGUCUGUACUGGUGAGAUGAAUCUCUACCUUCUGAGGAACUCUCAUGUCAUUAAUUUGGUGUGAUUGGAAAUCAGGACUGUUACUUUGAAAAAAUUAGAGUGUUUAAAGCAGGCUAACGUCUGAAUACAUUAGCAUGGAAUAAUGAAAUAGUACGUACUGAUUAUAUUUCGUUGGUUUCUAGGAUCACCGUAAUGAUUAAUAGGGAUAGUUGGGGGCAUUAGUAUUCAAUUGUCAGAGGUGAAAUUCUUGGAUUUAUUGAAGACUAACUACUACGAAAGCAUUUGCCAAGGAUGUUUUCAUUAAUCAAGAACGAAAGUUAGGGGAUCGAAGACGAUCAGAUACCGUCGUAGUCUUAACCAUAAACUGUGCCGACUAGGGAUCGGACGAAGUUAAUUUUAUAAUGACGCGUUCGGCACCUUACG
rnacentral:rRNA from 1 species